rfam:Felis catus isolate Cinnamon breed Abyssinian chromosome A2, whole genome shotgun sequence.
GCCUGGGUGGCUCAGUCGGUUGAGCGUCUGACUUCGGCUCAGGUCACGAUCUCGCAGUCGGUGAGUUCGAGCCCCGCGUCGGGCU